rnacentral:lncRNA from 1 species
AACGUGAUACGGACUCUUCUCAUUAGUGCUGUUUACAAAGGUCAUUUAAACCUGACCAGUGUCAUUGAGUCCUGCAGAGAUUUGAGCGCUUAUACCCUGACAGCUGAUCUCUUCAUAAAACACAGCACCACAGGGAGCCAUUUAUGACCGACGCUAUAAACACCAAUAGAAUUUUGGUGAUUUAGCGCAUCGGUGGCCAUCAUCUGUCAUAUGGAGCAGAGCAAAGCAGUUGACGUUCCACAACAAGAUGGCAUCAGGAAUCGCAUAAUAAGUCCUUAGGAGAGAAAAACACAGCGCAAAUUUCAAACUACAGUUGGUCAAAUCAUUACAAAACAGGUCUGACCUGAGAUAAAAAAGGAGCACCAGCACAUACUUUAUGCCUGCCAUCAGAGAAGGUUUUUGUUGGACUCUGGAGGAGCAGGUCAGGAAUGAAAGGCCAUGUUUGACACGGGGAAAGGCCUCCAAAGCUGAGACCCAUAAAUUCCACCAGAUGUGGGCAGUCUGGGAGAGGAAAGCUGACGCUUCAACACAGCAGAAGAUUUCAAUGCUCAGCGGCAGAACUGAUCAAUGACUGACAGAACGUCCUCUGGCCCUGGAGCUCAGAGACAUCCGAUUGGGUUUCAGCAAGAAGAGAGGCAGAGAGACUGUAUAACAGGAAUGGGAUGAGUAAUGUCUGCAGCAGCACCACCCACCAGCUCCACCUCACCCAGCCUGAAAUCUAAUCGCUCCCUCAGGUGCGCAUCGCUCCUCCGCUAAUCACUGUGUCAUCAUUCCCACUGCAGGAUCAGCUCCUCUGUACUGUAAAUAAAAAAAGUCUGUUUUUGUAUUUUGUGAU